UACGGAGGGGGCUAGCGUUGUUCGGAAUUACUGGGCGUAAAGCGCACGUAGGCGGCUUUGUAAGUUAGAGGUGAAAGCCUGGAGCUCAACUCCAGAAUUGCCUUUAAGACUGCAUCGCUUGAACGUCGGAGAGGUGAGUGGAAUUCCGAGUGUAGAGGUGAAAUUCGUAGAUAUUCGGAAGAACACCAGUGGCGAAGGCGGCUCACUGGACGACUGUUGACGCUGAGGUGCGAAAGCGUGGGGAGCGAACAGG
rnacentral:rRNA from 1 species